rnacentral:rRNA from 1 species
AACGUAGGACGCAAGCGUUAUCCGGGAUUACUGGGCGUAAAGCGCGUGCAGGCGGGUCGGUAAGUUGGUUAUGAAAGCUCCUGGCUAAACUGGGAGAGGUUGACCAAGACUGCCGGUCUUGAGUGAGAGAGAGGGACACGGAAUUCCGGGUGUAGUGGUGAAAUGCGUAGAGAUCCGGAGGAACACCAGUGGCGAAGGCGGUGUCCUGGCUCUCAACUGACGCUGAGGCGCGACAGCGUGGGGAGCGAACGGG